rnacentral:tRNA from 1 species
GCAAUGGUGGUUCAGGGUAGGAUUCUCUCCUUCCACGUGGGAGACCUGGGUUUGAGUCCUGGUCAGUGUA